AAAUUAUUAGUGUACAUGAAUUUAAUUUAAAAAUAUCUGAUUUUUCAUUUCAGAUUUCAAGAUGUGGAAACCACUGAGGUGCUGUUGCUUCAAGUUACGGACUGGAAGUCUUAUUAUUGGAUUCCUGUCCAUGAUCCGUGCCGUCCUGAAAAUUGUCUGCUGCAUAAUCUUCGCAAUUUUGAUGACGAAUUACAUACUCCAAUCCAGCUCUCAACAAACAUAUAGUGAAGACAGCGACAUGUGUGCAGAACAGAUUCUGAAUAUCAUCUAUGGAAUUGUGGCCUUUGGUGUAGUGACGAGCGUCAUUCAACUAGUAUUGAGCAUUAUUUUCAUCUGUGGCAUUUUCAAGGU